AAGUCGUAACAAGGUUUCCGUAGGUGAACCUGCGGAAGGAUCAUUAUCACGUUAUCCACGUAUCAACCAUUGUGAACUAGUAUUAGACCUUUGGAUUAAGAAAGGUAGUGUUAUGUUAAACCGUUAUCAAACAAUAAUGAUUGGAAAUUGUUGAGGUUUAAUGCGACCAAACAAAUUCGUUUGUUUACUUUCUGAUUCAAAGUGUAUUUUUUUUCCAAUCAAUUAUUUCAUUAACCAUUUAAACCCAAAAUUUUUCUAAAUUUUGAGCUGAUUUAAUUUCUUACUCUCUAAACAAGAGAAGAAAUAAAUGAUUACGAAACAUAAGAACAACUCUUAGCAACGGAUAUCUUGGUUCUC
rnacentral:misc_RNA from 1 species